rnacentral:sRNA from 1 species
UUGCUAUCUGCGAUAUGGAAGAUUCGAACCUGCCGCAGGUUCGGGUCGAACGCAGUGAGACAACGGAGCCGUUUACGGCGACGGCCAGAAGGGCGAGCGAAGCGAGUCAUCCUGCACGACCCACCA